rnacentral:rRNA from 1 species
AACGAACGCUGGCGGCAGGCUUAACACAUGCAAGUCGAACGGGCGUAGCAAUACGUCAGUGGCAGACGGGUGAGUAACACGUGGGAACCUUCCUAGGGGUACGGAACAACUCAGGGAAACUUGAGCUAAUACCGUAUACGUCCGAGAGGAGAAAGAUUUAUCGCCCUUAGACGGGCCCGCGUCGGAUUAGGUAGUUGGUGGGGUAACGGCCUACCAAGCCGACGAUCCGUAGCUGAUCUGAGAGGAUGAUCAGCCACACUGGGACUGAGACACGGCCCAGACUCCUACGGGAGGCAGCAGUGGGGAAUCUUGGACAAUGGGCGCAAGCCUGAUCCAGCCAUGCCGCGUGCGGGAAGAAGGCCUUCGGGUUGUAAACCGCUUCUGGCAGGAACGAAACGGCGCAGGCCAAUACCUUGCGCUAAUGACGGUACCUGCAGAAUAAGCACCGGCUAACUA